rnacentral:lncRNA from 1 species
CGCCUCCUCUCCGCUCUCGGUCCCUCCGUGGCCCCCGGCUGCACGUGCUCCGAGCUCCGAGGAGCGGUGGCGGAGGCUGGCGGGCGGGCGGGCUCCCCUCGGCAGCCCCAGAGGAGCUUGGGCAGGCUGGGUGCGGCCCGAGGGGCUCGGACAGGACGUAGGGAGAGGCAGGCACUGAGACCUCCGUCUCCGCGCUCUCCCCGACGGGCCUGGACGAGAGCCGUGGCCCGCCGGAAAACCCAGAGAGGAGGAGCCGAGGUCGGGGCGAGGACGCCCCAGGCCACGGCCCGGUUCUGGGGGCGGGACUUCCCUGGGGCUGAGGCACGUGUCUCAGGCCUGAGAGCAGCACCUGGAGACCCUGGUCCCAGCCCCCAUCAGCCCUUGGGACAUCCUAGAGGAGCACAGAAGCAGCACCGGCGGUCGGAGCAGCGGAGGAGCUGUCCCGCUGAACGACGGUAGCCCGUCCGUGGGCGAGAAGAGACGCCGGGGUUCCUGCCCGUGGAACACACGUCAGUGGCUUUGCCUUUAGAGCGGCCCAGAAGGAAGGCGAGCCAGUAGUGGUUAAUGUUCUUCCAGGGUAAGAACCCAGGAGGUUCCAGCAGCGGCUCGUGGAUCCCGGCAAGAGCAGUCAGGGGGCGGCAGCCUUGGUUCCCGUUAACAGGGCAACAGUGAGAUCUGAUUAAGAUAAAGGAGCGGAGAGGGGUAGAGUCCCGGACAAAGGCUUGAGUGAUCCCUGAAGGCCAGAUCUUUGUGCGUUGGCUGAGAGGCAAAGAGGAGUGAAACUUUCUCCCAUCAGAAAUGGCUCAAAGAGGGAAUGACAUUCACAUUCAUUUGGGUAUAGAAAUGUAGCUUACCCUACAAGAAAGGAGGAGAGGAAGGGGAUAAGAGAAAGGGUAAAGGUGCUGAUGGAUGGGAGGGCAGAUUGGGGGAGGGAAUAGUCAGAAAGAAAACACUUGAGGAAGGGCAGGGUAAAAGAAGAAAGAGAAUGAAAUCAUUGAAGCAGUUUUCCACGGUAAAAGCCUCAUUUCCGAAAUAGAGAACUGAGUCAAAUUCAUAAAAAUGAGGGCCAUUCCCCAACUGAUAAAUGAUUAAAAGGUUGGAAUAAUUUUCAAAUGAAGUAAUCAAAACUAUCUUAACCAUAUGAAAAAAAUGUUCUAACUCAGUAUUAGAGAGAAAUGCAAAUUAAAAUAAUCCUGAGGUAUUAUCUCCUUCCUUUUAGAUUGGCUAAUUAUUGGCCAAUUAGCAAAAAUUUUGGCUACUAAUGGAACAGAAAAUUACAAAUGGCGGCGGCAAGAAUAUAGGGGGAAAUGUGACAUUUAACACUUUGUUGAUGGAGUUGUGAAUUGAUUCAACCAUUCUGUAGAGUAAUUUGGAAAUAUGUCUUAAGGACUAAAAAUCCAUGUUUAUCCUUUAACCCAGAAAUAUCAUUUCUGGGUCUAUGUCCAAAAAAAAUUAAAAAAAAAAAAAAGAAAGAAAAGGACCUAUAUGUACAAAAGUAUUUAUAGCACCUCUUUUCUGGGGGCAAAGAACUGAAGAUUGAGGAUUGAAUGACCACUAAUUAGGGAAUGAUGUACAAAUUAUGGUAUGUGAUUAAGAAGGAAUACUAUUGUGCUAAAAAUGGUGAGCAUGAUGCUUUCAGAAAAAACCUAGAAAGACUUCCAUGAAUGGAUGCAAAGUACCACGCACAAAGUAACAACACUUGUUGUAAAAUGGUCAACGUGAAUGACUUAGCUAUUAACAGCAAUAGAAUGAUCCAGGACAAUUCUGAAGGACUUAUGAAAAAUGCAAUUCAUACCCAGAAAAAGAACUGAUGGUUAACAUGACUUUCAGGAAAAUGUUUUGUAUGAUUACACGUGAACAAUCUAUAAUCAUAUAUUCUGUAUAUUUGGCCCCAGAGCUGUAAGCUGUAGAUUCUAAAUUCUCUUGCUUAGUUAAUUCUCUCAGCAAGUUAACUAGAAGUCCUCCACUCUUAUUUUUUCUUGUUCUGGUGACCAAGCCCAUUGUGGCAGAGACCACAACUGCAUGGAAAGUCCCCCCAAAUAUUUUUGUAUCUCCAAAAGAGCAAGUGACCAUUUUAUGACCACAUAGGUCACUGACUGGGUUUGCUUGUAUUAUUUCCUCCUGCUCAAUUCAAGGAGAAGCCUGUUCAUCUUGUGUGGAAAUAAUUCCUUAUUUCACCCAACUUAAAAAAAAAAAAAACCCGCUGACAUAUCAUUUGCUUACUUUAGUUUAUGUGUCACAUGUCAAUAGUGGAAUUAUUUUGGACUUGGUAAGCUGUUCUUGAAUGACUAGACUGACAUCUAACCCUGUAAAAAUCAGGCUCCAGAAGAGAUCUCAGAUUGCGAGGAAGAUCUAAGGUCCACUUCGUUAGAGAGGACACUCCUACCCUGGGGAAUCUUUGGUUUUCCUGGUAAAUCUUUAUUCAGAGCAUUUCUCUGGCUCCUAAGCUGAGAGGUCCCUCUGGCAGCACCAAAACUCUACAGUGCCAAGUCUACACUGUAACAACUAAACAUGUUCUGUUACAGGCAGCCCAUCUUAAGGACACCAGUUCUCCUUAUACAUUUGGAAAUUAAGUAUAUCUACACAUCCCAAGUCUUUUGUCACAAUCAAAGCUAGGCUCUUGUAAAUAAAUACAUUUAUGUAACCAUUGAACCUAGGGGUAGAAAGCCUCUAGCUACCAAAAGCAUUGUUAUAUAUAUUUUUACAUAGAAGAUUAGAUUCUCAAUAGGUUCUGACCCUCUUAAAGGAAUUAAAUUAUUUUUUAGAAAAUAACAAGAUCAAUAAAGAAGGGAAAGGGACCUAUAUGUGCACGAAUGUUUGUGGCAGCCCUCUUUGUAGUGGUCAGAAACUGGAAACUGAGUAGUUGCCCAUCAAUUGGAGAAUGGCUGAAUAAAUUGUGGUAUAUGAAUAUUAUUGUUCGGUAAGAAAUCCUGUUUGGCAACAGGAUUUCAGAGAUGCCUGGAGAAACUUACACGAACUGAUGCUGAGUGAAACGAGCAGGGCCAGGAGAUCAUUAUAUACUUCAACAAUAAUACUAUAUGAUGACCAAUUCUGAUGGACGUGGCCAUCCUCAGCAAUGAGAUGAACCAAAUCAGUUCCAAUGGAGCAGGAAUGAACUGAACCAGCUAUACCCAGCGAAAGAACUCUGGGAGAUGACUAAGAACCAUUGCAUUGAAUUCCCACUCCCUCUAUUUUUGUCUGCCUGCAUUCUGGAUUUCCUUCACAGGCUAACUGUACAAUAUUUCAGAGUCCGAUUCUUUUUGUACAACAAAAUAACGGUUUGGGCAUGUAUACUUAUUGUGUAUUUAAUUUAUACUUUAAUAUAUUUAACAUCUACUGGUCACCCUGUCAUCUGGGGAGGGGGGUGGGGGGUAGGAGGUGAAAAAUUGGAACAAGAGGUUUGGCAAUUGUCAAUGCUGUAAAGUUUUUUGGAACAAAAGGUGUGGCAACUGUCAAUGAUGUAAAAUUGCCCAUGCAUAUAACUUAUAAAUAAAAAAAAGCUAUUUAAUAAAAUAAAUAAAUAAAAGAAAGAAAGAAAGAAAAUAAGAUCAGACAAUCCCAUAUGUCAAGUCGACACUAGGUAUACCCCAUUUGAUGUUCUUUAGUGCUCUAUUGUUAAUAAGGUCAGAGCUAUAAGGUUUGAACUGGUUUUCACCUUAUGAACUAGUUACUGGAGAAUCAAAAUGUAAGAAGGCAUACUAACACAUAUUGAGAUCUGUUCUGUAAAAGACUUUAGCACGA